GGAUUUAAAACCUGAUGCCCUAAAGUCGUCUGACUUGGGAGUCAUCGACCUAAAGCUCGCUAUAGGGGUCAUCUAGAAAGUUUAAGGGAGGGACGACCGCACAAAGAGUGGUCAAAAAAUAAAUAAAUAAAAAAUCUUUUUUAAGCUUGAUCAAGCCUCGAACACUUGUUUUAGAGUAGGCAUUUGACCAGAGGUCGGUAACUUGGUUGAUUCUUGGAGGUUGAAGCAGUCAAAAAUAGGAAAAUCCACACUUAUUGAUAUGUUGAACUGUAAUUAGUAAAUUCCAAC
rnacentral:lncRNA from 1 species